GUUCUUUUUCCAUUUACACUGAUACAAGGAAAGGAAAAAAAACACAUCUUUAUUCAUGUAUGAGAAGGUUAAUACAUGGUGAUAUUGGUCCAAAUGACAUUUUCUUAUCAUUUAACCUGACUUAGUCUAGUGAUUGAAGGCAUAUUCUUAGUCUAGUUAUUGAAGGCAUAUUAUUUACCUACCCCAACUCAAAAAAAAAAAAAAAAAAAA
rnacentral:misc_RNA from 1 species